AAUGAACGCUGGCGGCAUGCCUUACACAUGCAAGUCGAACGGCAGCAUGACCUAGCUUGCUAGGUUGAUGGCGAGUGGCGAACGGGUGAGUAAUGCAUCGGAACGUGCCUUUUAGUGGGGGAUAACGUAGCGAAAGUUACGCUAAUACCGCAUAUUCUCUGAGGAGGAAAGCAGGGGACCUUCGGGCCUUGCGCUAGAAGAGCGGCCGAUGUCGGAUUAGCUAGUUGGUGAGGUAAAGGCUCACCAAGGCAACGAUCCGUAGCGGGUCUGAGAGGAUGAUCCGCCACACUGGGACUGAGACACGGCCCAGACUCCUACGGGAGGCAGCAGUGGGGAAUUUUGGACAAUGGGCGCAAGCCUGAUCCAGCCAUGCCGCGUGAGUGAAGAAGGCCUUCGGGUUGUAAAGCUCUUUCGGCUGGGAAGAAAUCGCACCCUCUAAUACAGGGUGUGGAUGACGGUACCAGCAUAAGAAGCACCGGCUAACUAC
rnacentral:rRNA from 1 species